CUGGCCCAGGCAGGGGAACUGCUUGAGCAGCUCCGUCUUCUGCCGCUUGUAGUCGUCGGUGGCCGAGCGCCAGUGCGGCUCCUCCAGCACCUCGAAGAUCGCCGCCCCGAUGGACAGGUAGAAGAUGAUGGCCGAGGUUCCCCGGAGGUUUUCCUUUUCGACGCUGGAAGGUUGUGAAAUGAGGCGUUAGGCAAAACGCUGGAGGAGAGGCGGCAGCAGCUCUGAGGAGGACAGAAGACGGGCGACAGGCAGGCUUUGCCCUUGCCCCAGGAUGUUGUCCGUGGGUGUUAUGGACCCUUCAGCACAAGAACAGCUUCUCCCUUCCAUCGUGCAUUUUGUACACUCGAUAAAUCACACGUUUGCAUAUGCACCCAUGUGUGUGGGCCUGUGAGUUUCCAUUAGAUGUUCAGACGCUCUGGGGUGAAGUUCACCAGCUUGCCACGCUCAUGGAGCCCUUCCCAGGAGCCUCUCACGGCCACGCUCCUCCACAGUCGUACAUCAGGGCUGCUGGAAGUGGGGUUGAAUGGUCAGAGGAAGAUCAAGUCAGUGAUGAGAUAGAGCUGUGUGUUACAUGAUGUGGCAAAGGGCUCCUGGAGUGCAUGCAGUUCGUGUUAGGAAUGCUGUUAUUGUGGCAUAACUUAAUUCCCCGACUCCCCUAGCCCUCUUCCCCCUAGACAGCAAGAAAAUGGUCAAAAAUGCAGGGGUGUCCAAAGGAUUUUGAGAUGCUUAGGUAUGUCAGCUGGAGUCCACACACCAAAGGGCUGAGGUUAGCCUGCUGAAAUUCCCAUGUGGCCCUCAUUGAAAUGGGAGGAGGGAGAAUGGAGAAAACUGGAAAGAGGAAGGAAACAAUGAGAAAAUACACAACAAAGUAUGAGAAAGGAAAAAGGAGAACAUGUGGAAGGCAAAGGAACUGCCUCGGUUAGGAGGUAUCCAGAGACACCUAUCUGUAAAACAUUGACUCAUGCCAAAUGGAUGCUCUUGUGAGACUGCCCACAGAAAUUUACAUGGCCCUUAAGCAGUCCUUCCUACUAGCUUGUACAGAGCUCGAUGAAAAUACAUCUGCCAGAGGUUCCUGGCAGCUUAAAAAGCAGGACUGGAGAAACCACAAAAUCCACAAGCAUGUUACGUGAUCAGCAUCAUGCUUUUUUUGCAUGGGAUUCCCCAGUUAUGUAAAGGCAACAUUAAGAAGACAAAAGGAUUGCCAAACUGUAGUAGUAAAAAAAAAAAGAAAAAAAAAAAAUA